rnacentral:rRNA from 1 species
CGGUGAUACGGAGGGUGCGAGCGUUAAUCGGAAUAACUGGGCGUAAAGGGCACGCAGGCGGUGACUUAAGUGAGGUGUGAAAGCCCCGGGCUUAACCUGGGAAUUGCAUUUCAUACUGGGUCGCUAGAGUACUUUAGGGAGGGGUAGAAUUCCACGUGUAGCGGUGAAAUGCGUAGAGAUGUGGAGGAAUACCGAAGGCGAAGGCAGCCCCUUGGGAAUGUACUGACGCUCAUGUGCGAAAGCGUGGGGAGCAAACAGGAUUAGAUACCCUGGUAGUCCACGCUGUAAACGAUGUCGAUUUGGGGGUUGAGGCGCCCGUAGCUAACGUGAUAAAUCGACCGCCUGGGGAGUACGGCCGCAAGGUUAAAACUCAAAUGAAUUGACGGGGGCCCGCACAAGCGGUGGAGCAUGUGGUUUAAUUCGAUGCAACGCGAAGAACCUUACCUACUCUUGACAUCCAGGUGCUGCAUGGCUGUCGUCAGCUCGUGUUGUGAAAUGUUGGGUUAAGUCCCGCAACGAGCGCAACCCUUAUCCUUUGUUGC